rnacentral:rRNA from 1 species
CUGUGCAAAGGUAGCAUAAUCAUUAGUUUUUUAAUUGAAAGCUGGAAUGAAAGGUUUGAUGAGAAAAUUGCUGUUUCAAUGUUAAAAUUGAAUUUUAUUUUUAAGUAAAAAAGCUUAAAUUUUUUAAAAAGACGAGAAGACCCUAUAGAGUUUAAUAAAUUAGUAAAUGAUUUUAUUUGGAUUUAAAAAUGAAUUAUUUAUAUAUUUGUUUUAUUGGGGUGAUAUAAAAAUUUAAUUAACUUUUUAUUUAUUUAAACAUUAAUUGAUGAAAAAUUGAUCCUAAGUUUUAGAUUAGAAGAAAAAAUUACCUUAGGGAUAACAGCGUAAUUUUUUUUGAGAGUUCUAAUCGAAAAAAAAGUUUGCGACCUCGAUGUUGGAUUAAAGUAAAAUUUUGGUGUAGAAGUUAAAAUUUUUAGGUCUGUUCGACCUUUAAAACU